GUUUGUUCUCGGGGCGGGGUGAAACUCCCCACCGGCGGUAUGAAGAGCGAUCUUCGAGCCCGCGAGCGCCUGUAGCAAACGCCUUUUGGGGUGUAGUUUCAGGGUCAGCAGAUCCGGUGAGAUGCCGGAGCCGACGGUUAAAGUCCGGAUGGAAGAGAGCGAAA
rnacentral:ncRNA from 2 species